UACGUAGGUGGCAAGCGUUGUCCGGAUUUAUUGGGUUUAAAGGGUGCGUAGGCGGCCCUGUAAGUCAGUGCUGAGAUAUCCCGGCUUAACCGGGAGGGUGGCAUUGAUACUGCGGGGCUAGAGUACAGAUGAGGUAGGCGGAAUUGACGGUGUAGCGGUGAAAUGCUUAGAUAUCGUCAAGAACACCUAUAGCGAAGGCAGCUUACUAGGCUGUAACUGACGCUGAGGCACGAAAGUGUGGGGAUCAAACAGG
rnacentral:rRNA from 1 species